rnacentral:snoRNA from 1 species
GCACUGCCUUUGAGCCCCUUGCCACCCCUCUGCAUGGUGUAGGGGGUUAGGCUGCAGGGCCAGAGCACAUAUGCUUAUGCAGGCAUCCCUUUUAACUGGGAGUGACAAGG